CCUACGGGAGGCAGCAGUGGGGAAUUUUCCGCAAUGGGCGAAAGCCUGACGGAGCCAGACCGCGUGAGGGAAGAGGGUUUUUGGAUUGUAAACCUCUUUUCUCAGGGAAGAAAAAAAUGACGGUACCUGAGGAAUCAGCAUCGGCUAACUCCGUGCCAGCAGCCGCGGUAAUANUCAAGCUUAUC
rnacentral:rRNA from 1 species